UCUACGGGUGGCAGCAGUAGGGAAUCUUCCACAAUGGACGAAAGUCUGAUGGAGCAACGCCGCGUGAGUGAAGAAGGGUUUCGGCUCGUAAAGCUCUGUUGGUAGUGAAGAAAGAUAGAGGUAGUAACUGGCCUUUAUUUGACGGUAAUUACUUAGAAAGUCACGGCUAACUACGUGCCAGCAGCCGCGGUAAUACGUAGGUGGCAAGCGUUGUCCGGAUUUAUUGGGCGUAAAGCGAGUGCAGGCGGUUCAAUAAGUCUGAUGUGAAAGCCUUCGGCUCAACCGGAGAAUUGCAUCAGAAACUGUUGAACUUGAGUGCAGAAGAGGAGAGUGGAAUUCCUAGUGUAGCGGUGAAAUGCGUAGAUAUUAGGAGGAACACCAGUGGCGAAGGCGGUCUGCUGGACAGCAACUGACGCUGAGGCGCGAAAGCGUGGGGAGCAAACAGGAUUAGAUACCCUUGUAGUC
rnacentral:rRNA from 1 species